AAUUUUCAAACACUGAUAAUGCGAUAUCCGUACCUUCCUGUGUUACUCUCUCCCUCCCUCGUUGCCGGCUUCCGAACACUCGCCGGAUCGACGAUUCCUCGUCUCCAGCCUCCGCUCGAGCUAGCUUUCAGGUGUGGGUAUCGCAUCGGUUUCAUCGCCACUUAACUAUGUCGCUCGGUGUGGGUAUCGCAUCGGCCUCGGAGCUCGAGAGAAGGCGCUCUUGGAAGAAGAUACUGCAUUCAGAUCAUAAAAAAUAAUUUGAAGGUGUCGAGGGUCGGGGAUAUCCUUACAAUUCUUGUGAUUACUGGUAUUUUUGUUAUUGAAUAUUUGUAGUUUAGAACUUUCAGUCACGUGUAUGGCACUCAUUUACUGGCACAACUAUUUGACAAAAAGCUAA